AAUAUUGGACAAUGGGCGAGAGCCUGAUCCAGCCAUACCGCGUGCAGGAAGACUGCCCUAUGGGUUGUAAACUGCUUUUAUACAGGAAGAAACCCCUGAACGUGUUCGGGGCUGACGGUACUGUACGAAUAAGCACCGGCUAACUCCGUGCCAGCAGCCGCGGUAAUACGGAGGGUGCAAGCGUUAUCCGGAAUCAUUGGGUUUAAAGGGUCCGUAGGUGGGCAAUUAAGUCAGAGGUGAAAUCCCAUAGCUUAACUAUGGAACUUCCUUUGAUACUGGUUGUCUUGAGUUAUAAUGAAGUAAGUAGAAUGUGUAGUGUAGCGGUGAAAUGCAUAUAUAUUACACAGGAUACCGAUUGCGAAGGCAGCUUACUAAGUAUAUACUGACACUCAUGGACGAAAGCGUUGGGGAGCGAACAGGAUUAGAUUACC
rnacentral:rRNA from 1 species